UGGGGAAUAUUGCACAAUGGAGGGAACUCUGAUGCAGCGACGCCGCGUGAACGAAGAAGGCUUUCGAGUCGUAAAGUUCUUUUAUAUGGGAAGAUAAUGACGGUACCAUAAGAAAAAGCCCCGGCUAACUACGUGCCAGCAGCCGCGGUAAUACGUAGGGGGCUAGCGUUGUCCGGAAUCACUGGGCGUAAAGGGUUCGCAGGCGGAAAUGCAAGUCAGGUGUAAAAGGCAGUAGCUUAACUACUGUAAGCAUUUGAAACUGCAUAUCUUGAGAAGAGUAGAGGUAAGUGGAAUUUUUCGUGUAGCGGUGAAAUGCGUAGAUAUUAAAAAGAAUACCGGUGGCGAAGGCGACUUACUGGGCUCAUUCUGACGCUGAGGAACGAAAGCGUGGGUAGCAAACAGG
rnacentral:rRNA from 3 species